rnacentral:rRNA from 1 species
UACGUAGGGUGCGAGCGUUAAUCGGAAUUACUGGGCGUAAAGGGCGCGCAGGCGGCUAGUUUUGUCGAGUGUGAAAGCCCCGGGCUUAACCUGGGAACUGCGCUCGAAACGGGCUGGCUAGAGAUCGGGAGAGGAGAGUGGAAUUCCUGGUGUAGCGGUGAAAUGCGCAGAUAUCAGGAGGAACACCUAUUGCGAAGGCAGCUCGCUGGGACGUAACUGACGCUGAGACGCGAAAGCGUGGGGAGCAAACAGG